rnacentral:rRNA from 1 species
GAGUUUGAUCGUGGCUCAGAUUGAACGCUGGCGGCAGGCCUAACACAUGCAAGUCGGAGCGGUAACAGGACUAGCUUGCUAGUUGCUGACGAGCGGCGGACGGGUGCGUAACACGUAGGAAUCUGCCCGGUAGUGGGGGAUAGCCCGGAGAAAUCCGGAUUAAUACCGCAUACGCCCUAAGGGGGAAAGAUGGCCUCUUCUUGAAAGCUAUCACUAUCGGAUGAGCCUGCGUCGGAUUAGCUAGUUGGUGAGGUAAAGGCUCACCAAGGCGACGAUCCGUAGCUGGUCUGAGAGGAUGAUCAGCCACACUGGGACUGAGACACGGCCCAGACGUCCUACGGGAGGCAGCAGUGGGGAAUAUUGCACAAAUGGCGCAAGCCUUGAUGCAGCCAUGCGC